GAGACACCCUUCUGGGGCAAGACUUGCUUCAGUGGGGCUUUGGUGCUCACUGAAUCUGCCCCUUGAGUGUGUCCCU
rnacentral:pre_miRNA from 1 species